GAUGAACGCUGGCGCCGUGCCUAAUACAUGCAAGUCGAGCGAACAGACGAGGAGCUUGCUCCUCUGACGUUAGCGGCGGACGGGUGAGUAACACGUGGAUAACCUACCUAUAAGACUGGGAUAACUUCGGGAAACCGGAGCUAAUACCGGAUUAUAUAUUGAACCGCAUGGUUCCAUAGUGAAAGACGGUUUUGCUGUAACUUAUAGAUGGAUCCGCGCCGCAUUAGCUAGUUGGUAAGGUAACGGCUUACCAAGGCAACGAUGCGUAGCCGACCUGAGAGGGUGAUCGGCCACACUGGAACUGAGACACGGUCCAGACUCCUACGGGAGGCAGCAGUAGGGAAUCUUCCGCAAUGGGCGAAAGCCUGACGGAGCAACGCCGCGUGAGUGAUGAAGGUCUUCGGAUCGUAAAACUCUGUUAUUAGGGAAGAACAAAUGUGUAAGUAACUAUGCACGUCUUGACGGUACCUAAUCAGAAAGCCACGGCUAACUACGUG
rnacentral:rRNA from 1 species